CGGAGUUUAGCUCAGUUUGGUAGAGCACCUGGUUUGGGACCAGGGGGUCAGUAGUUCGAAUCUACUAAUUCCGACCA
rnacentral:tRNA from 1 species